ensembl:lncRNA
UUACAUCUGCAAAUCCAAACCUUUAUUUGUGGUAAAAUCAGAAUAUUUGCACAGUUUUGUUUUUCUUCGUGCAGUGCUCUUCGUGCACAUCUGCUAAACUAAUACAUAAGCAAAUACUAACUACCAGGCCGGUGCAGCUGCCCGUCCACACUGUGGGGUCUGGCCAUUCAGUAAUGACGACAGCACUGGGCUUCAUUUCAUUUCAGUUCGCUCGCUAAGAGAACAGCAAUCGUUCCUAAAUGCACCUCAGCAUCUGUGAAUUUCAGAUCACUUUAACAAACUGAACUUGAAAUAAAGCCACAAAGUGUUUUGUUUUUGUGUGUCUUUCACGACACCCUGACAAAAAAUACAAUUACUUUGUUGCAAAAUGUAGUUUGUGCAUACAAAAGGCUGUAAAGUAAUGGUUCACCUACGUCUGAUAUGCGUCAGUGAUUGCUGAGGCUACAGUCUUUGGACAAAUCAAUCGGUCCCUGUGUAACUACAGUGGGUCUGUGCUUAGAGGACCAACAGUACAAAUGUCCGUUAUAUUACUCUGUCUCUCCUGCAGGUCAGAUAAAUACUGAUCAGCUGCAAGAAGGGGGAAAAAAAUAAAUAAAUCCCCAUUUCUGAUUGGCCAGAAACACCCCUGUGACAGCUCUAACACACCGACGCCUGAAAAGAUGCAAACCACAACAACGGAGCAAUAGAACCACAGUUAAGUCUGUGUUAUGAAGACUUUAAAGAUCGCCACUUGUUUUUGCCAGACAUUCACAACAAGGGUAUUAACGAGAAGGAAAAGUGUAAAGAUUCAACAAAGAAAAGGAAAAAUAAAACGACUUGGAGAAAAUCUGGACACUUUUUUUUGUACUGCAUGUUUUUGUCGUUUUUUACAAAAUGGUCUUUGAUCGUUAACUUGUUAUUUUUUAAUCCAAACCUUGGCAUUUACGGUGGUAUUUUCUCAAUUUGUUCGCCGAUUAAAAAUGGCUGUUUAUGGUUGAUUAUUAUUGGCAAUGAAGCCUGUCGCAUAAACAGGUUUGCGGAUGUGAUACUGAGUCCAAUGUGACUUUAAAGGUAACCAGUGGAGGCUGUUUCUCGUAACGUGUCGCCAUCACAUCGGCUGUAAUCAACAAUCUGUGGUACACCUCGUACCUUCAUGUUACACCACAUGCACAUCUUUACACAUUAACAGAAGACCUGAAGUUGGAGGUUUCAGUUGGGAGAAGAGUACUGUAGUGCUGGAAAACACUGGUGUUGAGCUUUAUGCAGGGAUGCUGUGGCAUCUUUAAACUAAUUGCCAGAACUGACUGGACUAUUUUGUUGAAAUCGGAAUUUUCGGGAAUGACAGCAUGAAUACUGCCAAAAAUAAAAUCAUAGACAUUGCGUAGAUUCAGCAGAUUUUAGGCCACAUAGAAUGAUGGCUAGCGCUAAAAGGUAGGGUAAGUGCUAGCGUGCUAAAAAUGUAUAAACCAAUGGGCAAAAGUGAUACAGGAUGAAAACAAGUGAUAAUGAAGGUUAUUUUUUGAGUUAUUUAGGUAUAGACUAAGUCAUGGACUGCUGAUGCUAGCAUGGCCGAUAACCAGGAAGCACUGCGAGUACCUCCACCCCCAGAGAACCCCCGGCUUUCAGAGGUUUUUAAACAAGCUGAUCAUAGAAGGUAUAAAACAGAUUAAUUUGUCUGACUCAAUAGCUACGCCCAAGACAGAAGUGCCUAAAACCUGCAUUCUAUCUGAAGACCACCAGAUGGCGAUAGCUGUGCUUGCUAAAAGAACAGUUUCCUGCUGAGUUAUUGGCUAAGUCACUCAUUCGGUUUUUAAUUUUUUUAAGUCUAUUUUGUAAAUCUUGGGUCGUAAUAUGCUUCAAAAAGGAAUAUCUAUGGUACACCCAAUGGUAAUAAUUCAAAAACUUUUAGCCAAUGAGUAAGUAGUCCCAGUCAGAUCUGGUUUUUUGUUUGUUUUGUUUCAUUUUAAAUCAAGACAGUAAAAGUGAAGAUGCCAAUAUUAAGACUUCAAAGUGGGACUUGAGGAUCAGAUACAUGGGACAGAUUUGCCUGAUAAAAUCCAGUUUCAUUCUUACAAUUAAAAAAAAAAAAAAAAAAAGAAUGUAAGAACGAACCGUGGCUGCAAAAACUGCCCAGUUAAAAAAGAAAAGAUGUGCACACAGCAAAGGAGCUAGGUUUUAGGGGUUUUUUGUUGUUUUUUUGUUUUGUUUUUUUUACUGGCCUUACACAAAAUAUAUGCAUCUGUAUUUAUGAAAUGCAGGUGAUUUUUGAAAAUUACAACCACUGUUGAAACCCAGCCUUGCUAUGGUGACACGCUGACGGAGAAACGCUCCCCCACGUCGCAUCUUUAACAUUAAAAAGCUCACACUACCCCAGAAAAAUAGAAAUUUUUCACUCAUACCAAUGACAUUCAACAUUCAAGUGCCAGUGUUUUUGUUUACUGUCUUUUGGUCAAGUCACUUUGUAAAAUAUCAGCUUUUGUAUUAGGCAUAGAAAAAUAAAUAUUUCUCAAAAAUGCUUGAUAAAUUACACAAACUUGCAGUGAAAGUAGACUCAAGAACUCUGUGUGCAAACAGCUGAAUCCUACCUUUGCUGUUAACUAGAACUCCACCUGGUCCCAAAAACAAAACAAAACAAAACUUAAAAACAAAAAUUCUCAAAGAACCUUUGCACACACACACACACACACACACACACACACACUUACUUCUUAUUUAACACCUCUACACUGCCUUCACACUCACUCUCAGUCGUACCUCUUUAGGAUUAAAGGACAUGUGCUACAGAAGACUUUUGUUGAAGAUUAAGCAAAGUCUUUUGUGUAAAACUCAGUGGUCUUUCUAUAACGGAGGGGGCCCUGCAGGCCGCAGCAAUGGAAGCAUAGCACCAUUAAUUGUUCUCUGACCAUCAGUGCUGUCUGUAUCACAGGUAAGUUUGCUAUCAGCUCCAUUAGGGCUGGGUAUCACCCUUCAUUUAAGGCAUCAGAAGGUUUUGGGAAAUAAAAAAACAAAAAGAACUAAAGUGCUGGAUCAGUUUCGCAGGAAGUAAACUAAGCAUUUUCUGCAUGACACAAACUUUUGUGUUUUUUCUUAAACUUUGUUUACUGCUGAAAGUGUGUGUGAUAGUUACAGGUACAUGCAGUGACACUAGCAAGACACUGAUGAUCAGUUAGCAUGUAACGGUAGCACUGUUUACCAUCUUACAUAAGCAUGUUACCAAGGUAGCAUUUGCUAAUUAGCAGACAAAGAGUUUUGCGGUAUUUUGCCAAAAAAAUGAAGUCUUUCAGAAAUCGAAAUUGUGAGGACCAACGCAGUAGAUAAAGUGCCUGAUCUACAUUCCUAUUCAUAAUGCCCUGAUGCUCAUAUUUUCUCAAAAACGUAACGUUAGCGGCACAAAACGGCAACAUGUCCAAGUUUUAGCACCGGGAAUCAGUUGUCAGUCAGUAAAAAAUGUGUGCCUGAAUUGUUCUGAGUCAACAGCUCUUAAGCAUUUACAUAAAGUUAUCAUUUUUUUACCCCUGCAUCAUUACAGCAUCUGACCAAGCAAACAUUCCUACACUUAAAAGAAAAUAAUAAAAAUUUCUGCAAUAGUUUGAAAUACCCAGCCCUAACCAACAAAUUUCAGUCUUUAGUGAUUCGGCCACUUCAAAAGGCACCGUUCACACGUAAAACUCUGGGCUCAUUUCACAUGUGCCAGUUUGGACUCGAGCAGAAAACUCAUGCAGAGAAUCGUGGUGACCACACAGCGAAAGCAAGCCACAAGUAACUGAACUCUAUUGCACUUGGGGUAAAAGUUCAGAGGGUUUCUCCCCCCCCCCUCCACACAGGAAUUUGGGGGCACAGUGGUAUUUAAGUGUUGCUCUAACACAGCUCAAUGGUAAAUACGACUGACAGGUAAAACCAGCCUGCCCUAGAAAAACACUGAAAUACAUUGCAUAUUUAUGAACAACACUAUUUGACACGAUUGAUCUACAAAGCAAGAGGUAAACUGAAUUUUUACUCUCACAAGUCACACUGCAUUUAAAAAGGUUCACCGGUUCCUUCAUUUUUUUUAACGGAUUCUCAAUGUGCUGCCAAGCGCUCGUCAGAAGGCACAGCAACAUCUACGCAACCACAUCCACUCAAUGGAUUCGCCUGCGACGCCGCAUGCCUGCAGCAUUGGUAACAAAACAAAUGGGACUACAUUAAGCUUAUGGUCGGCAGAAGCCACUGAUUCAAGUAAGAAAUGCUUUCACACAGGGAAUAUCAGUCAGCAGUAUCCGACUGCCAGUUCAGUCAGUAAAGUUCCUCCUACAGAGUUUUAAAGGUUGAAGCUGAUUUUAUAACAAUGCCAGCAAGACAGCUAUUUAAUAAAACCUCUAGGUGUGAAAGUGCAACUUAAAGACUUCUGCUUGUGUGUGAAGGGAGUUCUGUGAUUGUCAUUAGCAACUUGCUGUCCUGUUUUUUCAUUCCUUCAAUACUUUGCAACAGCUCUUACAAGAAGUCUGCAGGAGAAAAUCAAAUGUUUCAUGACCUCAAGAAGAAAGCUGAUCAGUAAACGGGUGCUUUAAAAAAAAAAAAAAGAAAGAAAGAAAAAGAAAUCAUCUAUUGGGACACCUCUGACAGUUCUGGUCAACAUUUGAAUCGCCGAUUCAACCGCCGCUCAUAGUCAUUAAGCCCGUGUUAGACUGCAGUCUCAAACUUAGUGACAGCUCUUAGUGCGACAGUAACUGUUUAUCUGACCCGUGCUGUAACAGCAGCUGAAAAGAAAAACUCAAAUUUCCUGUUUUUGGUUCAUUUGUAAAUGCAUAAAAGGGAGCAGGUGGACAUCGAGGAGUACAGCUGAAUUCUAUCAUUUCACAGCCGUCCUUGAAUGCAGCAUUGCUCCUGGCCCCUCAUUUUGAGUCAGACCAGGCUUAGUGAGAUAUCGUACAGUUAUAUUUGACUGGUGUCUUUUAGCACCAGAAAAGCUUCUGGAAAAAUCUACUUUGUAUAUUUAGUAAAUGACCAGCUAACUGCUUUAACUGCUUUAACUCCUUCAAACUCAUCAGGAAAAAAAGAAAGAAAAAAAAAUGCUAUUAAACUCAGAGUUUCCCCAACGUCCCCCUCAAAUGUAAUCCGAGGGAAAGGGAGCUUAAGACUGAUUACAAGAGUCAAAAAAUCAAAAGCAGGAAAAAAAAACUAUGAUAUAAAAUAAAUAACUGCAACAUAAUUAAAGCCUGCUAUAGAAUUGGAUUCAUCUGCUUGGCAUUUGAAACUUCUUGACCAAAAAACAACAACACUUGAAUAUGUUUUACAGUCUUGGUCCUGCUUUGUCAGAGUCAGUGGGCAGUUUGAGGGUUAAUCCACCUUGUGCGCAUUAAUUUGGGUGAAUGUAUCUCUAUAUAGACGUGUGUAUUCUCUUGAAAGAAUACAAGCUUUUGUCUUUGAACUUUAGUCAGCGGUGUUCAAACUGCCCACUGUGCUAAGCUCACCAGACCAAUCUUGGUCCAGUGUUGAGUGAUCAAGUGUGACUCUCAUGCACACCAAGUGUUGUUUAACUUCACAUUCUUUUUCUGUGGAGAUUCCUCUCUGUUGAAACUAUUUACAUUUAAUCUGAGUUCUACAUGUAAACAUAACUAAAUUAAUCCACCCCCACACUGGAGUAACAGAGCUUUUUUUGGCUCUUAAUUGGCCCAGUUUGGGGGGGUGGGAGUAGGAGGAGGAUUGGAUUUCUACCACUGAACCAUCCAAAUGUUCAGCAGAGAUCCCUUUUCAAGUUCAAUCAGGGACGAAACAUGGACAUCCUGGGUCAACUGGCCCCUUGAAGCCUGGUUGCAAAGCAGAGCCAAGUAGGGAUAACCAAGGAUUUAAAUGCAUGCGAUCAGUUCUGUGUAGCAACUUUUCCACAAGCACAAUUUACCCUGACAGUUUCUCACUGUGCUGAGCCGAGUUGGGUUUCGCAUUCGACAAUCGCGGCGGGACGCUGUCAUUGUUUAUUAAUCUGCAGCACGUGCUGGGACGUGUCGUGCAUGCAGAAGGUGAAUACGUUGCAAUAGCUGCCAAGACUGCCAGUCCAGAUAGCAAACUACUCUGGAGAGUGGACGUGCAUCAGUGUGAAGAAGUAGGAGUGUGGCCCAUCUGGGAGCUCUGGGAGCUCUGUGGGCUGGGUGUUAAGUGUUUUGAAAGCAAUCAUAUGCUGCCAGUGUACGGCUGUUGUGCGCGUUGGCCGAAAUCUAGUUUUGUAAACAUUUCAUCGAGGAAGUGACUUCAACACUGAGAAACACUAUCUGCUGACUGAAAGCAGUAGUAUGAGGAGGAACUGAACCGAGGCGCGAUUUUGAGUGAUCUUGUGCUUGAUCACAGUUGCACACGUGGCUAAAAUGUGCUGUAGAUACGAUGCAUUGCAUUCCUUGGGAAGCCCCCAGCUGUCUGCAGUGAAAUUAGUUCGUAAGGAUGAUCCAGUUCUUCACUUUUAACGCCCGACUUCAACAGAGCUUAAAAGACCUAACUGGAAUGACUACUUUUAGAGAAGACUCUUCAUGCAACUCUCCAGGAUAGAGUGAGCGAGAAAAUUUGGACCUCUUUUUAGUUUGCGUAUUCCCCCCUCGAGAGAAAGUUUCUCCCAAAACAAGGGUUUCAAUGUUUGUGGUUAAAAGCAGCGCUAGAUUCCCAAGAGCAUGAUGGCACUAAGAGUCAUCUGAACGGCCGCAGACACCAACACAAUCUGGGAACUGUUUUCAGCAGCAGCCAUGUAGUGUUUUCUAAGCAAAGGUGUUUCAAACUGUGUAGUGGUUACAGUAAUUUAAUAUGACUCGAGUGGCACCAGACUUUGGCUUUUUUUAAAUUAUAGCAAGCUAUGAGGAAUUGGACAUUUACGGCUACAUAUCUGGAUAAUAAGAGGGGGAGGAACAACAUAACGUGACUGCUGCUGGCCCUGUUAGUGGCACACAGUGACCCAACAAUUAGUGACAAGAUGGCUUUGAGAAACCAAACUGCAAGCUCAAAGCUGAGCUAUAGAUGUGACACAAGUGUCAAUGAGUAGGACUCGGGUUCCCAAAAGCAUACAGCCACUGUGGUCGGACCUGCUCGUUGGCUCUUUGACUUUAACAGUACGAUUAAUGCAAUUUUUGACCCAUUUUAUAUUUACUCAUCCAGAGUGAGUAAAGUAAUCCACAAAUAUGCUUACAGUGGUUAUAUGCUUUGGGGAAUUAGCUCAGUCUCUAAUAGACAGAUAAGGAAAUGCUUUGAGUUUCCUCAUCAUAGUUUUAGUUUAGUUUGUUUUUUUUUGCCAAGGUUUGAUUUAGUUCAAGCCUAGUUUGCUUCCUUCCAAAUAAAAAUAAAGAAAACAUUUAAACCAACAAAUGACAUUGAAUACACACUUUUAGUCAC